CAGAAAAACAAAACAGCUGCCGCGCAAUUAAAAAUUGCGCUAAACAAAAAGGAAAUUCAAAAACAAACUGUUGACGACGGGCCACAGCUGGACCCUGGCGUACCCACCCUGCCUGAGAUGGCCACAUCGGCGCCAUCUCCCUUGCGUUGGCCACAACCUCAGUGGCUGCUCCUCAUCCGGCGUAGUGCUGUGGAAUUCCCUUCCCCUCCAUGCUGAGAAGACUCACACAACCAUGUUCAACGUACAAUAUUAAUAUAUAUUCGAAUUUCAUUGCAGCUACACGGAACAGUAUUCGAAGCAAAGGCAAAUAGAAAGAAAAAAAAAAGGCAAACAAAGCGGAACAACAAAGAAAUAAUAACGGAGUAGGGACAAUUAUAUAUGUCUUUAAUUCAAUUUAAUCUAAUUUAAAUAUUGCUCUAGUCUUCAAAAUUAAGUUCUUGUUGCUUAGUUUUAGGUGAGUUUUCGAAUUAUAUUCUCUUUACAUAUUUAUUAAUACUUCAAUUUGGUUUUUUUUUCAGACUGAAUUACGAAUUCUUUGGAGAGAGAAAUCUACGAUCGCCGAUGACGGUCGUCAUCAAUCGGGAGUUGACGGUGUCGCAUUAAAAUUGGACAGGGAACGGCUUGGCGCCGCCGCACUAACUCACUCGGACAGGCUCCUCCUCUUGCUCGUCGCUGGAUGCGUAGUUCGGCGUUCGCUGUUCCGCGCCGUCAAUGCCGCUCCUGUCGUUAAAGCGCCGUGUGUCUCGCGGAUGGUUGCCCGCACUUAUCCAGCGGUGAUUGUGGCCGCUGGUGUCGCUUGACCAAGUUCCUUCUCGCUCCCUCGCAGAUUGCUUGCUCCAAGCGGAGUUGGGUUACGAUCAACUGUUGCCCUCACACGAUUAAGCAGCUGAAGAUGCGAUGCUCUGCUGCUGCGGUUUUUUCUCUGUUGCCGUCGCGGCCCGAUUCAGAGUUGCUGGCGCUAUCGUUGUUGUUGUUGCUGCUCGAAGAAAGCGACUCGCGUCUUUGUUGAACCGGACUUGAGCUUCUUGAGCGUGGAGUAUUUGUUCUCGCCGGCCUUAAUCUGAGCCUCACUGAGUAUGUCCAGGUUGCUCUGGUUCUCCUCGAUCUUGUGCGGCGCUAUCUCGCUGCGCAGGGUUUUUUACUUUAUUUUAAUACUUUCACGCACGUUGUUGCCAUUAAUGGUUGGUUGUCAUUGCUCACACUGUUGUUAGUUUACGAUCUGGUAACGGAAUUUCUUUUUAUAUACUAAACAAAUCUUUAUUUUUGCGUAA